CCACUGAAGCCCUGAGUAUACUUGGCCAGAGCUCUGAGGUCAACAUCUUUUGAAACAGGAGACUUUCUCAAACAAGCUUUAAAUAUCUGAUGACGGGAAUCCUCAUCUGGNAGUGGGAUAUAAAUCAAUUGAUCCAGACGGCCCGGUCGCAGAAGAGCAGGAUCUAUAAUGUCUGGUCGAUUAGUGGCCCCAAUGAUGAACACGGUUUUCUUUGCUGACAUACCAUCCAUCUCUGUAAGCAAUUGAUUCAAAACCCUAUCAGCAGCACCACCAGCAUCUCCUACGCUGCUGCCCCUCUGCAAGAUUAAAAACAUGCAAGUUUUAAACACAAGUAACAAGAAAAGACAAUUAGAGUANUCUUACAACNAAUCANNAGGGAUGUAAAUGCGNCGGCAUCUUAGAUACCAGUAACUUUUGCAGAUGCCAAGCCAUUGCUUAUAGUAUGGUAUGGUACAAACCUGAGUUGCAAUAGAGUCAAGUUCAUCAAAAAAUAGAACACAUGGAGCAGAACCACGAGCUUUGUCAAAAAUUUCCCUCACAUUAGCCUCACUUUCUCCAAACCACAUGGUAAGUAGUUCAGGACCUUUGACACUGAUGAAGUUCGCCUGGCAUUCAUUGGCAAUGGCCUUUGCCAAAAGGGUUUUACCACAACCGGGAGGCCCAUAGAAAAGAACCCCCUUUGAAGGUGACAUUCCAAACUUC
rnacentral:lncRNA from 1 species